rnacentral:tRNA from 1 species
GCCAGUGUAGCUCAGUUGGUAGAGCUACUGAUUUGUAAUCAGUGGGUCGCGGGUUCGAAUCCUGUCGCUGGCUCCA